GUCCAGACUCCUACGGGAGGCAGCAGUGGGGAAUAUUGCACAAUGGGGGAAACCCUGAUGCAGCAACGCCGCGUGAAGGAAGACGGUUUUCGGAUUGUAAACUUCUGUUCUCAGUGAAGAAGAAUGACGGUAGCUAAGGAGCAAGCCACGGCUAACUACGUGCCAGCAGCCGCGGUAAUACGUAGGGGGCAAGCGUUAUCCGGAUUUACUGGGUGUAAAGGGAGCGUAGACGGUAGAGCAAGUCUGAAGUGAAAGCCCGCGGCUCAACUGCGGGACUGCUUUGGAAACUGUUCAACUGGAGUGCUGGAGAGGUAAGCGGAAUUCCUAGUGUAGCGGUGAAAUGCGUAGAUAUUAGGAGGAACACCAGUGGCGAAGGCGGCUUACUGGACAGUAACUGACGUUGAGGCUCGAAAGCGUGGGGAGCAAACAGGAUUAGAUACCCUUGUA
rnacentral:rRNA from 1 species